rnacentral:tRNA from 1 species
GCCCCUUUAGCUCAACGGUAGAGCAGCGUCCUUUUAAGUCGUGGGUUGUCGGUUCGAAUCCGACAGGGGGCA